rnacentral:rRNA from 1 species
UACAGAGGUCUCAAGCGUUGUUCGGAUUCAUUGGGCGUAAAGGGUGCGUAGGUGGCGCCGUAAGUCAGGUGUGAAAUUUCGGAGCUUAACCCCGAAACUGCAUUUGAUACUGCGGUGCUUGAGGACUGGAGAGGAGACUGGAAUUUACGGUGUAGCAGUGAAAUGCGUAGAGAUCGUAAGGAAGACCAGUGGCGAAGGCGGGUCUCUGGACAGUUCCUGACACUGAGGCACGAAGGCCAGGGGAGCAAACGGG